UACAGAGGGUGCGAGCGUUAAUCGGAAUUACUGGGCGUAAAGCGUGCGUAGACGGUUAUUUAAGUCGGAUGUGAAAUCCCUCGGCUCAACCAAGGAAGUGCACCCGAAACUGCGGAGCUUGAGUAUGGAAGAGGGUCGCGGAAUUCCCGGUGUAGAGGUGAAAUUCGUAGAUAUCGGGAGGAACACCAGUGGCGAAGGCGGCGACCUGGGCCAAUACUGACGCUGAGGUGCGAAAGCGUGGGGAGCAAACAGG
rnacentral:rRNA from 1 species